rnacentral:rRNA from 1 species
UACAGGGGGCUCGAGCGUUAGUCGGAAUCACUGGGCUUAAAGGGUGCGUAGGUGGCUCGUCAAGUGUUUUGUGAAAUCCCACAGCUCAACUGUGGAACAGCAGGGCAAACUGGCGAGCUUGAGGCAGGUAGGGGCCGGAAGAACAGUUGGUGGAGCGGUGAAAUGCGUAGAUAUCAACUGGAAUGCCGAUGGGGAAGCCGUCCGGCUGGGCCUGUCCUGACACUGAGGCACGAAAGCGUGGGGAGCAAACAGG